CAGCAGCCGCGGUAAUCCGAAGGGUGCAAGCGUUACUCGGAAUUACUGGGCGUAAAGCGUGCGUAGGUGGUGGUUUAAGUCCGUUGUGAAAGCCCUGGGCUCAACCUGGGGACUGCAUUUGAUACUGUGUGGCUUGAGUGUGGAAGAGGGUCGUGGAAUUCCCAGUGUAGAGGUGAAAUUCGUAGAUAUUGGGAAGAACACCGGUGGCGAAGGCGGCGACCUGGUCCAUAACUGACGCUGAGGCGCGAAAGCGUGGGGAGCAAACAGGAUUAGAUACCCCGGUAGUCCCUGUCUCUUAUAC
rnacentral:rRNA from 1 species